rnacentral:misc_RNA from 1 species
GAAAUGCGAUAAGUAAUGUGAAUUGCAGAAUUCAGUGAAUCAUCGAAUCUUUGAACGCACAUUGCGCCCCUUGGUAUUCCGGGGGGCAUGCCUGUUCGAGCGUCAUUAACACCACUCAAGCCUGGCUUGGUAUUGGGGUACGCACACCAGCGGCCCCUAAAAUCAGUGGCGGUGCCGUUGGGCUCUUAGCGUAGUAAUUCUUCUCGCUACAGGGUCUUGCGGUGGCUUGCCAUAACCCAAAUUUUUAAGGUUGACCUCGGAUCAGGUAGGGAUACCCGCUGAACUUAA